rnacentral:misc_RNA from 1 species
AAAAAGGGAGAAGAGCUAGGAGUGAAAACCUAGAAGGGCGCUCCUAGCAAAAUGAAAGAUGGAUGAAAACCUGUAAAGGACACCCUUUAAGAAUUUACAGGAUAUAAAAUGGAGGGAUAAGGAUAGUUGAUAAGUACGAAGUUGAAAGGUAGCUAAUGACCAUGGCAUAGGUGUUCUUCUGGUAUUGCUAGUAUCCGUGGCAAUGAGGGGUCAUAAGAGUUAAUUAAAAGGAAUUUGUGAGAUUUUCCUUAUCUUCCCUUCAAAAUUAUAAGACCUUUCAUGUAUUCUGAUUUCUUAUUAU